rnacentral:rRNA from 1 species
UACGUAGGUGCAGCAGUGUUCGGUGAUUCAUUGGGCGUAAAGGGUGUGUAGGUGGCGCCGUAAGUCGGGUGUGAAAUUUCGAGGCUUAACCUCGAAACUGCAUUCGAUACUGCGGUGCUUGAGGACUGGAGAGGAGACUGGAAUUCAUGGUGUAGCAGUGAAAUGCGUAGAUAUCAUGAGGAAGACCAGUGGCGAAGGCGGGUCUCUGGACAGUUCCUGACACUGAGACACGAAGGCCAGGGGAGCAAACGGG